CCUACGGGGGGCAGCAGUGGGGAAUAUUGGACAAUGGGCGAAAGCCUGAUCCAGCCAUGCCGCGUGUGUGAAGAAGGCCUUCGGGUUGUAAAGCACUUUCAGUGGGGAAGAAAGCCUUGGGGCUAAUACCCUCGAGGAAGGACAUCACCCACAGAAGAAGCACCGGCUAACUCCGUGCCAGCAGCCGCGGUAAUACGGAGGGUGCGAGCGUUAAUCGGAAUUACUGGGCGUAAAGCGCGCGUAGGCGGUCUGAUAAGCCGGUUGUGAAAGCCCCGGGCUCAACCUGGGAACGGCAUCCGGAACUGUCAGGCUAGAGUGCAGGAGAGGAAGGUAGAAUUCCCGGUGUAGCGGUGAAAUGCGUAGAGAUCGGGAGGAAUACCAGUGGCGAAGGCGGCCUUCUGGACUGACACUGACGCUGAGGUGCGAAAGCGUGGGUAGCAAACAGGACUAGAUACCGAGUAGUC
rnacentral:rRNA from 1 species